AUGUUAAUAAAAAUAAAUCUUUUUUUCUUUAUUUUUUCACAUAUUUAUUUGGUCAUUUAUUUGGUCAUUUAUUUGGUCAUUUAUUUGGUCAUUUAUUUGGUCAUUUAUUUGGUCAUUUAUUUGGUCAUUUAUUUGGUCAUUUAUUUGGUCAUUUAUUUGUUUGUUUGUUUAUUUAUUUAUUUUUUUUGUAUAUACUUUUUAAUACUUUACCUUUUAAUUAUGAAAAUAAAUCAAAAUAUUAAACAUCCAGCAGGAUUUAUAAAACAUAGAAAUGCUAAUGCUGGAUAUAAAAAUAAAACUGAUAAACAAAAAAUUAAUAAUAAAAAACAAAGAAUAGGGAAAGAAAAAGAAAAUGUAAUAUUUAAUAAUUAUUCAUUUAUAAAAAAUAAUGAUCCAUUAAGAAAAAAUACAAAAUUUGAUAAUUACCAAAGUGAUAAUUACAGUAAUAACAAUUACAGUAAUAACAACAAUAUACAUGAUGAAAUAACAUAUAAAAAUAAUUAUACUUACCAUAAUAGUGAUAGUAGUGAUAAUGAUAAAAAUAACUACGACAGUGAUAAACCAUUAUUUAAUAAUAACAUAAUAGAAAAUAGCAAUAUUAUUAAAAUAGAAAAAGACAUUAAUGUUGAAAAUAACACGAAUAAUCCAAUUACCCAAAAUAAAUCAAUUAUAAAUUAUGUUGAUUACAUUAAAAUGAUUAAAAAAAAAGAAGAAAGCUUAGAUUUAAACGGAGAUGGAGUUAUAUUAAAUGAAUAUAAUACAGAUAGUGAUAUAAAUUAUAAUAGUAACAAUAAAAAUGAAAUAAGUACGAUAUACAACUUUUUUUUAUUAUUUUGUCCAUUAGCUGUAACUAGUAUAAAAAACAAAUACUGUGUUAUUAAUGCUGAUGAUCAUAAAUUAUUAUUUGAAAAAAAAAUAAAAAAUAUUAAUAACUUAAUUGAUAUAACAAUAGAUAACAAAGAAAAAUAUGCUUUAGAAAGAACGAAAAAAAUUAUUCAAAAUAAAUUAGAAAAUAUAAGGUUAGAUAUUUUAUUCUUUACAUUAUUAAGUUUAAAAGAUAGUAUAAUAAAUAAAAAAAAAAAAUACAAAUUUAUAUUCAUACAAUUAACGGAUUAG
rnacentral:lncRNA from 1 species